UCCUCCUUGAUCUGACAUGAGCAGUAAAUGUUGGCUGCUCCCUUUAUCAUUGUCUUUUACCAUCAUCCAUCCCAUCCACUUUAUGGAGCUCAGAGGGAACCUUGAUUGCAAAAUGAGGAAUACUGGCAAAGUUUUUAGUGUAGCAAAAUGUACUUUGGCAGCCGGACAUAAAUUCUAUGUAACUUUCUUUCUGAAGACAUUUGCUAUUUUAAUUGUUACUUCUGGCCCUAUUCUCAGGGAAGAUGGAAUUUGGAGUUUAAGAAAGCACGUGAUGACAGAUGCAGAAGCUCCACUGACAUUUAACUUAAGUGAGGAUGGCAGAGCUGUCACACAAGAUGGGAAUUUUUCAUAGUUGUGGCAUGUCAGAUGGCCAGGUGUUAAACACAGAAACCUGCUGUUGACUUUCAAAGAAGCAUUUCCAGGUGAAUUGUCUAAAAGGCUAAUGUUACCCAAGAGACCCAGGAAAACUACUGUGUUUAUUCAGGAACUCUGUUCAGAGCCUUCCAGGAGCUUUUGACAGUAGCAGAUGUGUCCAUGUGGUAUCAGCUCUAUGCAGAAUAAGAGAGAGAUGCUGUGGAAUAAAUGUUGCUGCUGCUCCCUUCCCGUUCUGUGCUGGGACUUGGGAAGAAGAGGAGGGAAGUGUAUUUGUAUUAUUCUGGGGGUGGAAGGAGGAGGAGUAGUUGCGUUAUGGUGAAAAAGUUUAUGAUGAAUUUCAGAUUCUUUAUGAUUAAUUUCAGAUUCCUGUUCACCUCAAACUUAUUUUUAAAAUAAAAUAAAUUUUUUUUUCUUACUGUCCUUUUAUUACAUCUCUUAGCCUUGGCUUUCCAGGGAAAAACAUUGCGUGGUCAUUGCUGUUUACCUGACUCCAUGUACGGAACUGUAAUUUUAAUGUCUCUUUUUCCAGACCAUUUGUACACAAAAUCAUUCCAUGAAUGGCUGCCUUAUAAUUUUUCCACUUUAAUUGUGAAUGGUUAAAAUAAUGUUGCCGUUUUCAAUUUGGUUUAUUAUAUUAAAUUUUUACUAGGUGCAGUGCUUCAGAGUUGGCUUGUCAUUUACUGCAUGGGGUUUUGUGACAGCUCCGACAAAGAGAAAUGACAGUCUUAAAAAUGGGAUGCAAGCUGUGCAGACAGUACAUUUUAUUUUUGUAUAAGUGUGUUUGCUGCUUUUCUUCAUAAUGUCUGAGCACCUCCUGGAAACGUGAAGUGUGAAACUGCAUGUUGGGAGGCAGUCUAGCAGGUUGGUUUGGACAUGCGUGUGAUUGGGUUUAGGGGUAUAAAUACAGAAAUGAUUUGACAGCUCUGCUUGAGAGGCGCAUUUGACAACUUCUGUCUCCCACUGUGUGUUUAGGAGUUGGCAUUGCCCUGAAGCUAUCUCUUCCCCCACCCCCAGGGGAGUCUCUGAAGCUUACAAGGCAGAGACCUUUGGAGGGCCAUAAGGAGGUGAUUGGCUCAAGAUGGCUCCAGGCCACAGUUAAAAGGCUGGAGGGCAUGUUGGGGCUAAAGAAAACAGAGCAGAGGAUGGAAUGAAAGCAAUCUUGACAGCCCCAAACCCAAAAUGCAAACACUGAGUCCCUCUGUUCUUUUUGGAGACUUUGUGAUGAAGUAGCCUUUCCUGUAUAUAUGUGCUUCUGUGUGAUUUAGAUUAAAAGUCAACUUUAAAUAUGCAUGCAAAGGUGCGAAGAAAACUCUAUCCUGCUUUUGUUCCUGUGUUAAGGUGAAAACUGCUGAUGAAAUCUUUCUUCCCCCUGUUCUGUGGGUUUUUUUCCCUCCCAUCUUUUUGCUGUUUUCAGGCACCGAGUCACAGCUCAGCUUUCCUUGUGACUGCCCUGUGAUGCUACUGCUUACCUGUUCAUAGCUCUUAGCUCUUAAGUAUAGCUCUCAGUGUUCACUAUGGACAG
rnacentral:lncRNA from 1 species